rnacentral:lncRNA from 1 species
GGAUGCUGUGGGUUCCCCUCCCUCACUGUGAGGCCCCUCCCAUAGGGACCAAGGCCCCCAGGAACUUCCUGUUCUAGGACACCCCCAGCAAGUCAGGGCCCCUCCUGACCAGGGACCAAGGCUUCGGAGAAGACUCUGGAGAAGGCUCGGAGGAAACUGCAGAGAGGCACACAGCACAGUGAACGUCGAGCAUGCACACCAGGAAGCCCAGGUUCGAGUUCUGACCGUCACUUACUGGUGGUAAUGAUGGUACUAGAUGUCAGAGUCAAGGGAGCUGAGGAAGGCAUCCAAGUAAGGAGGUGGCGUGGGCACUCCCUGACAAGGCUACACGAGUGCAGGCCAGCUGUCCAGUCUUCCCCAUCUCAGCUAAUGCCAAUCCAUCCAUCCAGAUGCUGAGUGUGACAACCUAGAAGCCUCCCUGACCUCUGUCUUUCACUCACCGCAUCCGGUGUAUCAGCAAAUCCUCUGGGCUCUUCCUUCACAAUAUCUCCAGAUAAGACCAUUUCUCACCACCUCCAGGAUGCCCAUCUACCACCAUGGUGCAAGCACUCAAUCUGCUGCCUGGAUGACUGCAAGUGUCUCCUAACAGGACUCCUGGCUUGCACCAUUGCCUCUUCACUAUGUCCUCUCAACUAAGCCAGAAUGCUCUUUUUAAAGUGUUUGUCAGAUAAAGCACCUUGCAAAUCCUUCAGGGCCUCCCUGUGUCUCUCAGAGGGAAGUCCUCAUCCUUCCAAUGGCCUUGAGGCUGCAGACCCAGUGGCUCUCUGUGGCCUGACGUCCUCCCCUAUACCUCCCCACUCGGCCACAUUGGCCUGGCCACACAGCCACACUCCACAUCAUGCAGCAUGGCUGACUGUUCCCUAGGCUAAAAUGCUCUUCCCCACAUCCGUGUUGCUCAUUCCCUCACCUCCUUCAAAUCUUUACUCAAAUGUCAUAUUUUCAGUGAUGCCAGCUCUGGCCAUCUUAACUAAAAGGCUAAUUUGGUGCCUCUUUACCCUGAGCUGAGGAUCCUCCCUAGAAUGAUCACAUUCUGGCAUGCUCAACAAUUCCCUUGUUUAUUACACUGAUUACACUGAUUUUCUGGCCCCUCUUGCUGCAAUGCAGAAUCCUUAAGGGCAGGGAUGUUUGUCUAUUGUGUUCCUUGAUAAGUAGAACAGAACAGGGCUGGCAUAGAGAAGACGUGCGGUGAGUUUGUUGAAAAAAACAAAUACAUGAAGAAAUAAAUACAUGAAAACAAAUAUUGUGAAGGGCAUUGUGUACCAAGGCAAGGGGUACAUAGUAAGUCUGGUGUGUGAGGUCAAAAGGGAAAUCCAUGAAAGAUUUUUAGAAAAUAUAAUGGGCUGUAUAGUAGGUGAAUUAAUCUGGUAACAAUUUGAAGAACAAAGUAUAAUAGCAGAAAAAGAGUCAGGACACUUGCUGGAAUGUGGUGGCCCAGGAAAGAAGCAAAGGCCUGAAAUAGGUCAGUGGUGGUGCAAGUGGAAACCAGGGGCCCUGAGGAUCUUGGACUUACCUGGUUUAUUGAUAUAAUAUAGAUGAAAGAAAGAAAUAGAAAUCAAAUCUAUUUCCCAAACUUUGAUGGGAAAGUCCCAUUAAAUGGCAAGAACCACAGUAACUUUUGCACCAACCUAAUAUAUUAUAUUAUCAGGUUUAUAAAUAGGUAACACAUUUAGACAUUAGAUUUAACAUAUUUAAUAGCCCAACUUUUAUUUGAAAUAUAAACUAGGGUCUGAAUGUUCUCAGGUACAACUUUCAAACUGAGGUUUUGUCUAUAGAAUAAAAAAAUUAAAAAUUCAUUUGGGCUCACGCCUGUAACCCCAGCUACUUGGGAGGUCAAGGCAGGAAGAUCACUUGAGUCCAGAAGUUCGAGACCAACCUGGGCGGCAUAGUGGGAUCCUGCCUCUAGAAAAAAAAAAUCAAGAUGUGAACUUGACUUAAGAAGAAAAUAUACCAGAGGCAAUUCUAGAGCAAAAAUUAUAUGAAAUUACCAGUACCCAUAAAAUGACUC